UCAUCCCAAGUCCGAAUGGGAUAACUAUUUUACAGCCCAGCUGUUCUACAUUAGUUCAAAAGACCAUUUACAUUUUAUAAAAUCUAGUUUAGAACACCACACAUUCCUUUUUAUAUACUUUAUAUAUCAUUAUAUAGAAUAUACCUUUAAUGAGUCCCGGACACAAUGUUCCAGUAUGUUAAAUUAACAGUGAUUUCGUAUCCAGUUGUCCUGGUGUAGGGGUUUGAGUUGUGGGUUGAUACGCUAAAGGUCUUGAGUUCGAAGCCCAGCUUAGACACUAUAUGUUUUCUACAUAAAUUUUGAUUGUUAAUCUUUUCCGUAUAAAUGUAUUUAUUAAAGUUGAGCACGAACGUGUUUCUAUUAUGUGAACAAUCACACGUGAGUGUGUGUCCGCAUAGUGGUCAUCUAUUGGUGUUUAUAUUAGAUAAACAGGUUUGUGUUUUAAAUAUAUGAUAUUCCGGAUUGGUCAAUAUUUGUCGCAUUGCGUAAAUAUAUUGAGUAUGAUAUUUAAUAUGUAAAUAGCACGGGAUUUUUAAAGCGCGAAUAGUUUUCUUGUUAAAGUAUGUUAAGAUAUAUUGUCAUUCGAAGCUCGUAAACCGUUCAGUAAAGUGCAGUUUAGUUUAGGUAAAGACAUUUCCGAACCAGUCCUCGAGUUGAAUGAAGACGAUUUGUUAAGAGACCCCUUGCAUAGCAGUCCGAACGUCAUAACGUUUCAAAUUUACAAGCAAGUCAACAAAACCGUGACUUAGUAGACACUUUUGGGCUUUUCAAAGAUUAUUUAGAUAAAAAACUCGUUGAUUUAAAGUCCGACAUUCCUACAGUUUUUCAAAGAAAUAUAAAAAGAUAUGAAAGAGAUGAGGCUAAUAUUAAGUUUGAAUCAGAAGGGAAUCGGAUUCAGUUUCGUUUUAACGAGAGUAUUAUGGAUGGUCUUAACAAAAUCCACAAGGAUCUUGUAUCUGUUGCUUCCCCCCUUUCGUCUAUUACCGAUGAUUUGGUGGGUAAACUCAAAGAAAGAAAUAAACCCAUCAGGAUUGCUGAUAACUCCACUGGGGGAUGGGUUACUGUUAAAGAAUACGAGAUUAAUGAUAUCGCUGACAAUGAUGAAGACGAGAAAAAUAUUCGUCAGGCCGAGACUAUGGCCCUUAAAACUAUCAAUGAGAAAAAGAUCCGCCCUCAGCCGUAUACAGCUAGUCCAACUCCAGCAGUUGAACGUAUCGCUACUGCCCCUGCUCCUCCUCCAGCUUACGAUUUCAGUCGGUAUCAACAGCCCUUUCGUACCAGCACCGCACGGCGUGAGCCGUGCUCCAUGGACAUCUGUCACUACUGUUAGCAGUAUGGUCACUGGAGAAGAAACUGUCCACUCAACUUCAAGUCAGCCACAGCUUCUGCACCAAGUUACCAGCCAUCCAAACAGCAAUGACCCAGUUACUGUCAAUGAUAAGUAUCUACAGAUUUAUGUUUUAUUUUUAUCUUCUAGCUAUGAAAGCAAUUAUGACGAACUAGUCGAAUUUAUGUCGCAAGUUAAUUUUUUUGAAAAGUUAGAUUUUUCUGCUAGUCAUAACUUUAAUGUUGUUAAAGGCAGGUUUGCAAAGCAUUACAGAUGCUAGUUAUGUAGCAUGUUGGGUUUAUACUGUAGAAUUAGAAAAUAAGAUUUUUCACAAAAUUUGGAACGAAUUUGAAAGAUGUAAAAGCUCCACCUGGAAAAAGAUGAGAGUAAUUGAACAGGCCUAAUUGUCGUUUUAUUAUGGGCUACAUUUUGAAAUGGUUUACUGAUAACCAAAACUGUGUACGUAAAGUACAAGCUGGAAGCAUGGAGGAAGAUUAACAAAAUCUUGCCUAUUCUUUUUUUUUGUAUUUGUAAAGAGCAGAAUAUAUUCAUUGAAUUACAAUAGAUUCCUCGCACAUUGAAUUGAAAGGCAGAUUAUAUUAGUAAAAUGAGUGAUCAUGAGGAUUGGCAAAUUUGAAAUGAAUUUUUUAAAUUUUUUGAAAGUUUAUGGGGACCUUUUACUAUUGACAGGUUCGCUAGCGUGAUGAAUAACGAGACAAAAAGGUUCAUUUGUUUGUUUGAAUUGUUUUACAUUUGUCAUUUCGGGGCCUAUUAGAGCUGAAUAUGCGGUAUGAGCUUUGCUCAUUGUUCAAGGCCCUACAGUGACCUAUAUAGUUUUUCAAUUUCUGUGUCAAUUGGUCUCUUGUGGAGAGUUGUCUCAUUAGCAACCAUACCAAUGCAAAUUUUUUCUGCAUGUUUUUAUUCAUAAAGACAACAAAAAAGGUUUAAUAUUCAUUCGGAAAUUAUUGUUAAAGUGUAUUCGAUACAGUUACCACAAAAAUCAACAAUAUAGAAGCCUAGAAUCUUUGAUUGGUUUUGCACCAGUUAGUCAAUAUUGAAUUUACUUUCAAGUAUUCAUUGUUUCUAUAAAUAUUAAAACGAUUUAGUUUUGAGCUUUUUUCAGGCAUCUUUAAAGUUGUGAUCCUAGAUAUUUUAACAAUGUAUAUUUUGUGUUGUUAGAGGAACCUGUUUUUAGAAUAGUGAAUGAAACGGGCAGAUUCCCAACUAAAUUAUCAAAAGUACAUUCGUUAUUGGUCUCUAAAUGUGUUUAGUUAAGUUUGGGGGUUAAGCUUCUCUUCUGGGUGUGAGCGAAGCUCGAAUCCCCAUAUGGAAUUACCUGACCCCAUAUGUUUCGGUUUAGGUCACUUGCACACUAUGCAACGAAUUUAUCUUACCGACUAUCUUAACAUGUGGUAUUAAUUUAGAAUAGUGGCAUAUAAACGUGAUCAAGUCUUCAAUAUCGUUAGUAUUAGGAACCUACUUCCAUUGGUCUAUACAUGCUAUACAAAAACAAAUGGCAACAAUUUCAACUUGUAAGCUUAAGAUGUGUUUUUUGAAUUUAUUUCAAUCGUUCAUUAUCAAUUUCGUCGUCUGUUGAAACCUUAAAUAUUUUUUCUGAACACCGUGUUGUUUGUAUAAAUGGAUAUAACACCACUACUAACAGUGUAUUGAAAUAAGCCCCGCCUACUAAUAUAAUAUGGAAUAUACACGGUUUCCACGCGGUUGCUUUUAGCCAAUCAUAUUCCUAGAAAUGUAUAGGAGGUAAGAUAAAUUACGUUAUAUCCUCGUCAUAUGGUCUCCAGUUGGUCGACCUUAAUAUAUCUUCGUAUUUUAAUAUCGACACCUCUUACAUUGAACCAACAUCAUGUAGUCAAUAUAUUUGCGUGUAUACAGUCUCUUUCAAGAACAACAUUUGUCUGUUACCAGUGUUAUUUUAUUUUCUAUAAUGUAUUGUAAAUUUUGAUAAAUAACUAGCUGAUGAUGUUCGGAAUCAUAAAUUUAGCAGUAAAAAGAUCGAAACUCUCUUAAACAAAGUCGAUCUAAGAUUGUAUAGUCUUUUUGGCUUAGUAACCUUUAAAUAUAAUUUAACAAUUAAAUUACCGCGUAUAUUUCCCGCUUUUAGUCCAAUAUUUUUUUGGCAGUUGGUAGAUGAUACACAUUCAAAGCAGUAGAUAUUUUUACUUUGAUGUCAGUCUUAUAAAAUCUGUAUUAUGUGCCCUAGUGUCACGAAAAAAACAAACAUCAAUUUUAGAUUUUUAUCAUAUCAAUUGUAUGUCACUACAAUGAUGUAAUUUAAAUGUAUGUUUCGACAAAAAGGCUUCUUGAAAAGAAACUACUUACUUUACUUUCAUAGCAGAUACUCUAAUAGGAUUUAAAACCGGGUUUAACCCACCAUUUUCUGCGAAAAAUGUCUGUACCAAGUCAAAAAUAUGACUGUUGUUUUCAUUCUUUUUGUUGGUUAAUAAAAUCUAACGUUUGAUUUUCUCAGUUUUUAUGGACUUCCCCAGUUUUUAUUUUAUCUUGGAGUCAGGUAUUUUUGAUAAUACUUUUUAAACGAUCAUCAAAAAACGAUGAUCAGCUAUAUGUAUUUACUAUCAGUUUCUAUACGAUGCUCUCAUUUAAAAGCAUCAAAAUUAAGAAAAAACCGAAAAUCUAUUAUCAAACAAUGUUGAUGUCAUUUGUCCCCAGGAAUUGAUUUUCAAGAUCAAAAAGUACCAAAACACAAUUGUACUUUUGAUGACGUUUGAAGUAAAUCUGUCGGAAAUUGCUUUUAAUUUCUCACAACAAAUCACCGUCCUCUCUAAUUGUCAGAUAAACCAUACGAAGUAGACAGGGAAAACAUUGAUCAACAUGUAUAUGAAGCAGAACUAGGGAAAUCAUGUGACGUCUCAAUUAAAAUUUCAAGUUUCCAGAAGCCAUAAACUUCAUGGUCAACAAACGCCAGCGGAAAAUUUGGUGUAUUAAAUGCAGAAAAAGACUCGGAAGAAAUAUUCACAUUGUUUUCGACAAUUGUUCCAGAAAUUAGCAGUCAUUUAGGAAGAUAUAACUUUGUAGUAAGGAAAAAUUUAGGAAGUCUUAAACAUUAUAUUGAAUUGAAAUGUUUAUAUUCCUUUGAAAUACUUAAAUCCAAGUGAUUUUGCCAGGAGUGCAGACGCGCUUAUUGACAUCUUGCAUCAUGGCCGAUAAACAAUCCCGGCAUGCAACAACCAAGCAAGUAAAAAUGUGGGGACCAUCUACGGGUCAAAUAUUGUAGAUUAGAGACGAUAAAUUAAUCAAAAUGUUGUUUUUGAUGUAGUUAGAUUAAAAAUAGCGUAUUAAUAUUGAUAUAAUAAAGAAAAUAAAGAGCAAUAUUGAUUCUUCAAUUGAAAAUCUAUACAUGAUAUUGAUUGAACUUUUGUUUUUGAUGUGUUUAGAUGAAGAAUGUAACAAUAGUGAUUGAAUUAAGAAAAUAAUGAACUUAUUCAGCCUUUCGCAUAAACACUUUAGUAUUAAUUAUGUUUUUAAAAGAAAAGGAAAAAUGGAACGUUAAUUCAAUUUCUAAAAGUUGCAAUAAGAAUUCAUUUCAAAGUUGUUUUAUUUAUUUCCAUGAGUGUAUGUGAUUGUAUGUAUCUUGUUUCACAUGUGACGGAGUGUUUUUAAAUAAAGCAUAAUGUAUUG